GGAGUUGGUAUCUCAGUUGUAGAGUGCAUGCUCUGUGUGUAUGAUGUUCUUGGUUCAAUCCCCAGCUUCUCCC